rnacentral:rRNA from 1 species
GACGAACGCUGGCGGCGUGCUUAACACAUGCAAGUCGAACGGAAAGGCCCUGCUUUUGUGGGGUGCUCGAGUGGCGAACGGGUGAGUAACACGUGAGUAACCUGCCCUUGUCUUUGGGAUAACUUCUGGAAACUGGGGCUAAUACCGGAUAGGAGCUCCUGCUGCAUGGUGGGGGUUGGAAAGUUUCGGCGGUUGGGGAUGGACUCGCGGCUUAUCAGCUUGUUGGUGGGGUAGUGGCUUACCAAGGCUUUGACGGGUAGCCGGCCUGAGAGGGUGACCGGCCACAAUGGGACUGAGAUACGGCCCAGACUCCUACGGGAGGCAGCAGUGGGGAAUAUUGCACAAUGGGCGGAAGCCUGAUGCAGCAACGCCGCGUGCGGGAUAACGGCCUUCGGGUUGUAAACCGCUUUCGCCUGUGACGAAGCGUGAGUGACGGUAAUGAGUAAAGAAGCACCGGCUAACUACGUG